UACGAAGGGGGCUAGCGUUGCUCGGAAUGACUGGGCGUAAAGGGCGCGUAGGCGGACUGCACAGUCAGGCGUGAAAUUCUUGGGCUUAACCUGGGGACUGCGUCUGAGACGUGUGAUCUAGAGUGAGGAAGAGGGUCGUGGAAUUUCCAGUGUAGAGGUGAAAUUCGUAGAUAUUGGAAAGAACACUGGUGGCGAAGGCGGCGACCUGGUCCUUGACUGACGCUGCGGCGCGAAAGCGUGGGGAGCAAACAGG
rnacentral:rRNA from 1 species